rnacentral:tRNA from 1 species
GGUUAUGGCUUAGUGGUAGAGUGCUCGCCUUGCACAUGCAAGGCCCUGGGUUUGAUCCCCAGCACCA